GACCGCGUAGCUCAGUUGGAAGAGCAUUGGGCUAGUAUUCCAAAGGUCGUAGGUUCGAAUCCCGCCGUGGCCG